GAAGAAAUAUGCUUCAAAAGUCACAGAAUGACAAACCCUGACCUUGCUGUCAUAGAAGCGGUCUGAGACACUCAGAGGGGUAUUUAAUUAAAAGCCUUUCAUUCAUCAGGGCUACAGAUGUCAUGUCUCUCUCACUCUGUGGCUCCCUCCUUCAUUGCUUUCACCUGCUCAAACCUGCACACCAGCUCUCCAUCUCCUCAUCAACUCAGCAGUCUAUACACCCCGGCUCUCCAUCCACUCAUCGCCAGAUCGCUGUGUCAACUACUGCGGAUCACCAUUCACCCACCUGCCUUCCUGCUCAGCCAUCUGCCUCAACCUGCUCUCUGGACUCAAAACUGCUCAGCCACGCUCACGCCCCUCCUCUGGUCUGGUCAGCCUUCAUCCCCUUCACUCUUCUAACCUCCACAAUAAACCUCAUUACCAAUCAAC